CUUAGACCCCUGUGUUCCAUGUUUGACUCACGUUGUUUAUGUCUCGACAAACUGCAUCAGAGGAAGGGGGAAAAAUCAUUUCUCACUAUAUCAUAUGAGGCCAGAAACAGCAAGCUCCACUCUGUCCAACAGACCACCAAACCAAAAAGCCCUAGGAACAGAUUGCAUCUGUCAAGGAAGAUGCCGUUGGUGCAGAUGUUGUUCCCCACAAAUUAUUUGAAGAGUCUCAAAAAGCAGUUUCGCUUUUACCAGGAAAAGCAGAAGGAUGUAACUCUUCAACUUGAGAAAACCCCAAAAAAAGUAAAGGAAUUGGUCCACAAAUGUCAUGUUGUUAAGAUUGUCUUGGGUGGGACUAUACACUUAAGGAAGGAAGUCUGGGAGAGACUCAAAUUGAGCACCAGACACUCUUUAUUCAUUAAAGAGCUGGUAGUUGCAGCCUGGCGGACCAAAACCCUUGGGGAGCGCAACCUUACAGGCAAUGAGUUUCCCACCACAAAAUCCCACCGACAUCCACUGACUACAAAAAAAGUGAACAUAGUAAAAGCCACCCUCCGUGAAUAUCUACAGCAGAAAAAUAUAGCAAAUGAAGAAUUGGAAGCCAGGGCCGCAAAGUCUGGCCAUUAUAUUACAGAAAGAUAAUGGACAUUAACAAACCAAAAAAAGAAAGCCAUGUGAAUGGUGGUAAUAUCCAG
ensembl:lncRNA